UACGUAGGGCGCAAGCGUUGUCCGGAAUUAUUGGGCGUAAAGAGCUCGUAGGCGGUCUGUCGCGUCUGCUGUGAAAACCCGGGGCUCAACCCCGGGCUUGCAGUGGAUACGGGCAGACUAGAGUUCGGUAGGGGAGACUGGAAUUCCCGGUGUAGCAGUGAAAUGCGUAGAGAUCGGGAGGAACACCAGUGGCGAAGGCGGCCUUCUGGACCAAUACUGACGCUCAUGCACGAAAGCGUGGGGAGCAAACAGG
rnacentral:rRNA from 1 species